CGCAGCCGCGGUAAUUCCAGCUCCAAUAGCGUAUAUUAAAGUUGUUGCAGUUAAAAAGCUCGUAGUUGAAUUUCGGGGUUAGUAGGUUGGUCAUGCCUCUGGUAUGUACUGGUCUCACUGAUUCCUCCUUCCUGAUGAGCCGUAAUGCCAUUAAUUUGGUGUUGCGGGGAAUUUGGACUGUUACUUUGAAAAAUUAGAGUGUUUAAAGCAAGCUAACGCUUGAAUACAUUAGCAUGGAAUAAUGAAAUAGGACGUUCGAUCCUAUUUUGUUGGUUUCUAGGAUUGACGUAAUGAUUAAUAGGGAUAGUUGGGGGCAUUAGUAUUCAAUUGUCAGAGGUGAAAUUCUUGGAUUUAUUGAAGACUAACUACUGCGAAAGCAUUUGCCAAGGAUGUUUUCAUUAAUCAAGAACGAAAGUUAGGGGAUCGAAGACGAUCAGAUACCGUCGUAGUCUUAACCAUAAACUAUGCCGACUAGGGAUCGGAUGAUGUUAAUUUUUUAAUGUACUCAUUCGGCGCCUUA
rnacentral:misc_RNA from 1 species